CUNUGAAGCCUGACCNAGGCGCUUAUCCCUAAAGUNAANAUUGCAGCNGGNGAGUAAANCCCUUUUUAGGUCUNGGGAACGCNCUCUCGGUAAAACCAUGGUUGUCGUCAGCUCGCGACAGAAGAAGCACCGGCUAACUCCGUGCCAGCAGCCGCGGCAAUACGGAGGGUGCUGAGCGUUAAUCGGAAUUACUGGGCGUAAAGCGCAUGCAGGUGGUUUGUUAAGUCAGAUGUGAAAGCCCGGGGCUCAACCUCGGAAUAGCAUUUGAAACUGGCAGACUAGAGUACUGUAGAGGGGGGUAGAAUUUCAGGUGUAGCGGUGAAAUGCGUAGAGAUCUGAAGGAAUACCGGUGGCGAAAGGCGGCCCCCUGGACAGAUACUGACACUCAGAUGCGAAAGCGUGGGGAGCAAACAGGAUUAGAUACCCUGGUAGUCCACGCCGUAAACGAUGUCUACUUGGAGGUUGUGGCCUUGAGCCGUGGCUUUCGGAGCUAACGCGUUAAGUAGACCGCCUGGGGAGUACGGUCGCAAGAUUACAACUCAAGAUGAAUUGCUCCUNCGGCCAGCGCCAGCAUAUGGAACGGUGUCGACUACCAUUUNNAGUCAUCAACAANGUGCNUAUCCCUAAAGUUNAGNAUGCNNCAGUNANNNNUGGCAU
rnacentral:rRNA from 1 species